rnacentral:rRNA from 1 species
UACGUAGGGUGCGAGCGUUGUCCGGAAUUACUGGGCGUAAAGAGCUCGUAGGUGGUUUGUCGCGUUGUUCGUGAAAACCCACAGCUUAACUGUGGGCGUGCGGGCGAUACGGGCAGACUGGAGUACUGCAGGGGAGACUGGAAUUCCUGGUGUAGCGGUGAAAUGCGCAGAUAUCAGGAGGAACACCGGUGGCGAAGGCGGGUCUCUGGGCCGAUAUUGACGCUGAGGAGCGAAAGCGUGGGGAGCGAACAGG